rnacentral:pre_miRNA from 1 species
UUUGUACUCCCUCCAUCCCACAAUUCUUGUCUUAAAUUUGUCUAAUACGGAUGUAUCUAGUUACAUUUUAGUGUUAGAUACAUCCAUAUCUAAACAAAUGUAAGAUAACAUUUUUGGGACGGAGGGAAUACUAC